AUUGAACGCUGGCGGCAGGCCUAACACAUGCAAGUCGAGCGGAUGAAGGGAGCUUGCUCCUGGAUUCAGCGGCGGACGGGUGAGUAAUGCCUAUGAAUCUGCCUGGUAGUGGGGGAUAACGUCCGGAAACGGGCGCUAAUACCGCAUACGUCCUGAGGGAGAAAGUGGGGGAUCUUCGGACCUCACGCUAUCAGAUGAGCCUAGGUCGGAUUAGCUAGUUGGUGGGGUAAAGGCCUACCAAGGCGACGAUCCGUAACUGGUCUGAGAGGAUGAUCAGGCACACUGGAACUGAGACACGGUCCAGACUCCUACGGGAGGCAGCAGUGGGGAAUAUUGGACAAUGGGCGAAAGCCUGAUCCAGCCAUGCCGCGUGUGUGAAGAAGGUCUUCGGAUUGUAAAGCACUUUAAGUGGGGAGGAAGGGCAGUAAGUUAAUACCUUGCUGUUUUGACGUUACCAACAGAAUAAGCACCGGCUAACUUCGUG
rnacentral:rRNA from 1 species